AGCCAUCUGAUUGUGCAUGUUUAAAAAAAUUAUUUGAGUCGUCCAUCAGGAUUUGCGUGGGGCGCUAGGAGCCAUCAGAUUAGAGCCUAUUCAGGGAAUCAAUCUGGAUUGUUCGUGCUCACAGGAGUGGACACGGACCGUUUGAUUGCCCUGGCAUGCAGAUUGCUUGUGUGUUUCCCGUGUAGAGCCCGUGUUAGUCUAUCUACCACCCGACAUGUCUUGACUCGUCGUGCUGCUGACAUGGCCGUCUUACGUGGUUGAUACUUUCCUUUUUACUAUU
rnacentral:lncRNA from 1 species